rfam:Triticum aestivum genome assembly, contig: Triticum_aestivum_CS42_TGACv1_scaffold_432944_5DL
AAAACUAGCCAGUUCUUUGGGUAUGGAACCCAUUUGGGCGAGAGUAGUAUUAGGAUGGGUGACCUCCUGGGAAGUCUUCGUGAAAGGGUUUC